ACGUAGAGGUGCGAAACGCAUCAGUAGCCGGGCAACGCUUCAUACGGCGCCGGUGACAGGGCUUUUCGCCGAAAUCCUGCCGUGGGUAUGGCCGCGGCCGGGUUGGUCCUUGGCAGAACAUGUCCCGGACUGUCACUGAGAAUGUGGAGCGCUACG
rnacentral:ncRNA from 1 species